rnacentral:pre_miRNA from 1 species
ACAACUCCAGGACCGUCGGUCUACCGAGCAAUAUCAGCUGCUCGGUGGAAGGUCUUCCCUUUGUCGU